CAAUAGCGUAUAUUUAAGUUGUUGCAGUUAAAAAGCUCGUAGUUGGAUUUCGGAUGGGACUUGCCGGUCCGUCGUUUCGAUGUGCACUGGCCAGUCCUAUCUUGUUGUCGGGGACUAGCUCCUGGGCUUCACUGUCCGGGACUAGGAGCUGACGAGGUUACUUUGAGUAAAUUAGAGUGUUCAAAGCAAGCCUACGCUCUGAAUACAUUAGCAUGGAAUAACACGAUAGGACUCUGGCUUAUCUUGUUGGUCUGUGAGACCAGAGUAAUGAUUAAGAGGGACAGUCGGGGGCAUUCGUAUUUCAUUGUCAGAGGUGAAAUUCUUGGAUUUAUGAAAGACGAACUUCUGCGAAAGCAUUUGACAAGGAUGUUUUCAUUAA
rnacentral:rRNA from 1 species